UCAAACGCUAUCCCUCUUCUCAGUUUCCCCUCCCACAAACUCCCUAUCCCGUUUCCCCUCCCACAUGUUUCUAUGAGGGUGCUCUCCUGCCCACCCACCCACUCCUGCCUCACUGCCCAAGCAUUCUCCAACACUGGUGCAUUGAGCCUACAGAGGACCAAGGGCCUUCCCUUCCAUUGAUGCCAGAUAAGGCAAUUCUCUGCUACAUAAGGUGCUGGAGCCAUGGGUCCCUUCACGUGUACUCUUUGGUUGGUGGUUUAGUCCCAGGGAGCUCUGGGGGAUCUGAUGGUUUGAUAGGGUUGUUCCUUUCUCUAACUCCUCCAUUGGCAUUCUGUGCUAAGUCUAAUGGUUAGAUGUAACCAUUCUCAUCUGUAUCAGUAGGGCUCUGGCAGAGCCUCCCAGGAGACAUCCAUAUCAGGCUCCUGUCAGCAAGCAUUUCUUGGCAUCAGCAAUAGUGACUGGGUUUGGUGUCUGCAUAUGGAUUGGAUCCUUAGAUGGACCAGUCUCUGGAUGGCCUUCCUUCAGUCUCUGCACCACUCUUUGUUCCUGCAUUUCCUUUAGGCAGGAGCAAUUCUGGGUUAAUAUUUCUGAGACGGGUGUGUGGCCCCAUCCUUCAAUCAGAGGCCAUGACUAACCAACCACUGGAUAUGGUCUCUACAGGUUCUAUCUCCCGUUUGUUGGGUAUUUUAGCUAAUGUCAUCCCUGUUGCUUCCUGAGAACCUCUUGCUUUCCUGGCAUAUCCCCUUCUCUCACAUACUCACUCCUCCUUCAUUUCCUUUUC
rnacentral:lncRNA from 1 species